rnacentral:lncRNA from 1 species
GAAAGGCAAGGAGGAAGCUUAUCUGUGAAAAAGAAAAGCACUAUCACAAGGAAUAUAGGCAGAUGUACAGAACUGAAAUUCGAAUGGCGAGGAUGGCAAGAAAAGCUGGCAACUUCUAUGUACCUGCAGAACCCAAAUUGGCGUUUGUCAUCAGGAUCAGAGGCAUCAAUGGUGUGAGCCCAAAGGUCUGAAAGGUGUUGCAGCUUCUUUGCCUUUGUCAAACUUCAGUGGAAACUUUGUGAAGCUCAACAGGCUUCAGUUAACAUGCUGAGGAUUGUAGACCCAUAUAUUGCAUGGGGAUACCCAAAUCUGAAGUCAGUAAAUGAACUAAUUUACAAGCAUGGUUAUGGCAAAAUCAAUAAGAAGCGAAUUGCUUUGAUACAUAACACUUUGAUUGCUUGAUCUCUUGGUAAAUAUGGCAUCAUCUGCCUGGAGGAUCUGAUUCAUGAGAUCUAUACUGUUGGAAAAUGCUUCAAAGAAGCAAAUAACUACCUGUGGCCCUUCAAAUUAUCUUCUCCACGAGGCGGAAUGAAGAAAAAGACCACCCAUUUUGUAGAAGGUGGAGAUGCUAGCAACAGGGAGGACCAGAUCAACAGGCUUAUUAGAAGAAUGAACUAA